rnacentral:rRNA from 1 species
UCCUACGGGAGGCAGCAGUGGGGAAUAUUGGACAAUGGACCACAAGUCUGAUCCAGCAAUUCUGUGUGCACGAUGACGUUUUUCGGAAUGUAAAGUGCUUUCAGUCGGGAAGAAGUCAGUGACGGUACCGACAGAAGAAGCGACGGCUAAAUACGUGCCAGCAGCCGCGGUAAUACGUAUGUCGCAAGCGUUAUCCGGAUUUAUUGGGCGUAAAGCGCGUCUAGGCGGCAAGGAAAGUCUGAUGUGAAAAUGCGGAGCUCAACUCCGUAUGGCGUCGGAAACUGCCUUACUAGAGUACUGGAGAGGUAGGCGGAACUACAAGUGUAGAGGUGAAAUUCGUAGAUAUUUGUAGGAAUGCCGAUGGGGAAGCCAGCCUACUGGACAGAUACUGACGCUAAAGCGCGAAAGCGUGGGUAGCAAACAGGAUUAGAUACCCUGGUAGUCC